rnacentral:rRNA from 1 species
GACGAACGCUGGCGGCGUGCCUAAUACAUGCAAGUUGAGCGCUGAAGGUUGGUACUUGUACCAACUGGAUGAGCAGCGAACGGGUGAGUAACGCGUGGGGAAUCUGCCUUUGAGCGGGGGACAACAUUUGGAAACGAAUGCUAAUACCGCAUAAAAACUUUAAACACAAGUUUUAAGUUUGAAAGAUGCAAUUGCAUCACUCAAAGAUGACCCCGCGUUGUAUUAGCUAGUUGGUGAGGUAAAGGCUCACCAAGGCGAUGAUACAUAGCCGACCUGAGAGGGUGAUCGGCCACAUUGGGACUGAGACACGGCCCAAACUCCUACGGGAGGCAGCAGUAGGGAAUCUUCGGCAAUGGACGAAAGUCUGACCGAGCAACGCCGCGUGAGUGAAGAAGGUUUUCGGAUCGUAAAACUCUGUUGGUAGAGAAGAACGUUGGUGAGAGUGGAAAGCUCAUCAAGUGACGGUAACUACCCAGAAAGGGACGGCUAACUACGU